rnacentral:rRNA from 1 species
UACGUAGGGACCAAGCGUUGUCCGGAAUCACUGGGCGUAAAGGGCGCGUAGGCGGCUUGAUAAGUAGGGGGUGAAAUCUUGCGGCUCAACUGCAAGGCUGCCUCCUAAACUGUCAGGCUUGAGCACAGUAGAGGCAGGUGGAAUUCCCGGUGUAGCGGUGGAAUGCGUAGAGAUCGGGAAGAACAUCGGUGGCGAAGGCGGCCUGCUGGGCUGUUGCUGACGCUGAGGCGCGACAGCGUGGGGAGCAAACAGG